rnacentral:tRNA from 1 species
UUUAAUUUUAGUGUAAGUGGCACAUUUAAUUUUGAAUUAAAUAGAGGUUUAAACCAGUUAUAU